rnacentral:rRNA from 1 species
AACAAACGCUAGCGGCGUGUCUUAAGCAUGCAAGUCGAGCGGCAGGCGCAGCAAUGCGCUGAGAGCGGCGGACUGGUGAGUAACGCGUGGGUAAUCUACCUUUGGCAUGGGGAUAGCCACUAGAAAUAGUGGGUAAUACCGAAUACGUUCCCAGGGGGAGAUUUCAGGGAAGAAAGGGUGCUACGGCACCGGCCGGAGAUGAGCUCGCGUCCCAUUAGCUAGUUGGUGAGGUAACGGCCCACCAAAGGCGAUGAUGGGUAGCCGGCCUGAGAGGGUGUACGGCCACACUGGGGACUGAGAUACGGCCAGACUCCUACGGGAGGCAGCAUG